GGCAGUGGUAGCUCAGUGGUUAAGACACUUGACUUCUGAUUGGUAGGUCGUGAGUUCAAAUCCCAGCGCUGCCA